rnacentral:lncRNA from 1 species
AAUUAUGAAAUUUAUUUUUUUUUCAUAUUUUUUUAGGUUUAUCUGUACCAUCGCAAGGCAAUACAAUUCAGAUAAUCCUUGAUGAUUAUGAUGAUAAUGAAGAAGAAAGUUUGGUGAUGGACCAUGAAAAAGAUUGAUGAAAUGGAGAAAGUUUAGCAUAAGUACUUAGUUGUUCUCUUUUUAGUUGAUUGUUUUCUUAUCGUAAAGGGG